rnacentral:rRNA from 1 species
GAUGAACGCUGGCGGCGUGCCUAAUACAUGCAAGUCGAGCGAACAGACGAGGCGCUUGCUCCUCUGACGUUAGCGGCGGACGGGAGAGUAACACGUGGAAAACCUACCUAUAUGACUGGGAUAACUUCGGGAAACCGGAGCUAAUACCGGAUAAUAUAUUGAACCGCAUGGUUCAAUAGUGAAAGACGGUUUUGCUGUCACUUAUAGAUGGAUCCGCGCCGCAUUAGCUAGUUGGUAAGGUAACGGCUUACCAAGGCAACGAUGCGUAGCCGACCUGAGAGAGUGGUCGGCCACACUGGAGCUGGGACGCGGACCAGACUCCUACGGGAGGGAGCAGUAGGGAAUCUUCCGCAGUGGGCGAAAGCUUGACGGAGCAGCGCCGCGUGAGUGAUGGAGGUCUUCGGAUCGUAAAACUCUGUUAUUGGGUGAAAACAGAUGUGUAAGUAACUGUGCACGUCUUGACGGUACCUAAUCAGAAAGCCACGGCUAACUACGUG